AUACGGAGGGUGCAAGCGUUAAUCGGAAUUACUGGGCGUAAAGCGCACGUAGGCGGUUAUUUAAGUCAGAUGUGAAAGCCCCGGGCUUAACUUGGGAACUGCGUUUGAAACUGGGUAACUAGAGUUUAGUAGAGGGGAGUGGAAUUUCAGGUGUAGCGGUGAAAUGCGUAGAGAUCUGAAGGAACACCAGUGGCGAAGGCGACUCCCUGGACUAGAACUGACGCUGAGGUACGAAAGCGUGGGCAGCAAACAGGAUUAGAAACCCCGGUAGUCC
rnacentral:rRNA from 1 species